GUCGGCUGCGAUAUGUCAAAUUCAGCUACGCUAUUCACGUAGCUGAAUUUGCGUAUCUUAAAUCGACUCCCCCCUGUAGUGUAGAUGUAGCCCCAGCCAGGGCUUUGUCAAGGACUAGUCACAGGCAGAGCAAGAGGAUGCUUGGUUGGGCUACUCGCUCAGGUUCUGCCUGUUAUUGUGUGAAAUGGCGGCUGCUGUCUUGUUGCAUCAACCUUGAGACCUCAGCCGUCCCUCUUAUCGCCUGCUCAGAGACUGCAAA